ensembl:lncRNA
GGCGGGGACACUGGCCAGACGCCCCCACCUGGUGCUCAGCCCCGAGUGGGUACUGCCCGCAGACGGCCGUGAGAAGUCACCCGGUCCCAGGGACAGCUGGCCCUUCUGAGGGGCCUCUCGUUUCCAAAGACCUCAGCUGAAGUCUUAUCAGAGGAGUCCCCAGCCCAAGUCCACCUGGCGCCAAUUCUGAGCCUCUCUUCCCAUGAAUGAUGUCUGGAGACCUCUCGGCCUGGAACGUCUCAGUGAGCAGAGCUGGACCACGGCAUGGGAAGCAAGACACAUCCGACAUCCAGCCCAGAGAGAAGGCUGGGAGCGUCGCAGCUCAGCUCUUCCAGCAACACCGAGGAGUCAGAGUCCCUAGAAACUCAUCACCCGCCAGCUCUGUUCACGCACGUGCAAGAGCGAAAGUGUCCACCGAAGGGGACAUGUUUUACAGCAAAAUCUAGAACAGCAGGGAUGUCAGGACUUCAAAGCUUCCAUCUCCUCCUUGCCCCUCUGAUAUGGU